rnacentral:misc_RNA from 1 species
AAAAAUUAUCUGAAAAUGAUAUCAAAUAAUGUUAGCAAGGAUGGGAAUCUCCUGCAGGCUAAGAAUUUGUUUUUCACAAUUUUGUAUAGAAUACUAAUUCUUCUCAAGUUGUGGGUUGGAAUUGUUUGUGUAGUUUUAUUUGGAGGAGCUAUGGUUGGGUAAAUGUGAUCAUCAAUUGAAUAGGUUGCUGAUGUGCUCUGAGGUAGCAAGAAUAUUCAUUGAUAUGACCUUUUUUUUUUUG